GCCAGGUGUGGUGGUGCACGCCUGCAGUCCCAGCUACUUGGGAGGCUGAGGCAGGAGGAUUGCCUGAGCCCAGGAAUUCAAGGUUACAGUGAUCGUGCCACUGCACACUAGCCUGGGUAACAGAGUGAGACCCUGUAUCUU
ensembl:misc_RNA Metazoa_SRP Metazoan signal recognition particle RNA